rnacentral:misc_RNA from 1 species
UCGUACAAAAUGUGUAGAGGCAUGUGAGGGCUGUUGCUGACUCAAAGUCGUGCACGCCGGAGCGUGUCCUCUCACAUAACAAUCCAUCUCACCCUUUGUGCACCACCGCGUGGGCACCCUUUGGGAUCAGAUCGAUCCCCGAGGGGGUUCACGUUUUCACACAAAACCCCUCCCCUUUAAAAAGUGUAGAAUGACCUCAUAUAUGCAAUCAAUA